CCGGGGGUGAGUGAGGACGCGGCCCCGCAGCGCCGCCGGGGGCCGGCCCGGCGCUUUACCUGCUCUGCCAGCCCUGCAGGAGGCUCAACUCUUCAUCUGAUGACCACAGUGUUCAGAAGACAUUGGAUGAACAAGGCAUGCUCCUUCAGGAAGCUCAGAUCCUGCUCGCUCAGGAUAAGGAUUGUCCUUAAUUUGUCUUCCUAACGUUACAAUGGCAGCCCAAAGCUGUGGAAACAAUACGCUUUAAUGAGAAUUUGCUGAAAGAUAAUUCUGUCAGGAAAAGAAGCCACCUUACACAUGAAUAGAAAUGCCUCUC